UCACCCUCAGAGCUCAGUAAGGCCACAGCCACCGGACAAGCUAGACACCUCCAUCUAUCCCGCGACUGGGAGAACCCUGUAGCCCAAGGUGGACGCCAGGACUGGCCGGACCUGACCUGUGCCCGCUACCCGGAGGAGGAGUUGCCGGACUUGCCCUGUGCCCGCUACCUGGAGGAGGAGUUGCCGGGCCUGCCACUCGCCCACUACCCUGAGGAGCCCAGAGGACAACACUCUGACCCAGACAUCAACGUGGACAUCUCACAGGUGUGAGAAUCUAGGGACAACAAGGAGGAUGAGGAAGAGGAGGCGGAAGAGAAUGGGAGACAGGCGAUUGGUGGAUCCAUACUGAGAUCAUUAAACUGAAAUGUCCCUUCACUGAGAGACUCAUCAUGCCCUAAGCUAAUGGACGUCCAACCAUAAGAGAACUCAGAAUGACUGUAAGGCACCAAAAGAGGAAAAAACAAGGUUCUUUUUUACCAUCUUUUCCCACCAUUAAACCAAUGUGUUUAAAAAAAAACAAAAAAACCCAGAAGACACGAAACAGAUGUGCAUCAAUGCCUCCCUGCUGCAAUCACAGGAAACUGACUGUCCAAUUUGCC